rnacentral:rRNA from 1 species
AUUGAACGCUGGCGGCAGGCCUAACACAUGCAAGUCGAACGAGUGGCGGACGGGUGAGUAAUGUCUGGGAAACUGCCUGAUGGAGGGGGAUAACUACUGGAAACGGUAUCUAAUACCGCAUACCAUCAGAUGUGCCCAGAGGGGAUUAGCUUGUGGGUGGGGUAACGGCGUACCAAGGCGAAGAUCCCUAGCUGGUCUGAGAGGAUGACCAGCCACACUGGAACUGAGACAAGGUCCAGACGCCUACGGGAGGCAGCAGUGGGGAAUAUUGCACAAUGGGCGAAAGCCUGAUGCAGCCAUGCCGAGUGUAUGAAGAAGGCCUUCGGGUUGUAAAGUACUUUCAGCGGGGAGGCGUUACCCGCAGAAGAAGCACCGGCUAACUCCGUGCCAGCAGCCGCGGUAAUUC